AAAGAAGGGAGGCUAGGGUUUGUGAAGAGGAGAAAAGGGGACCCAAAAGUGUUGCUCUAAAGUGCAUUUUUUUCUCAAAAUCUCCAUUGAUUCUCCUUAAAGCUGCAUUCAAUCUAAGGUAAUCCAGAUGAGUAGCUGUUUCCGCUUAUAGUUGAGUUAUGGGUGUCAUUGCUCUGAUACGUAGCACUUGGGGGGGGGGGAAAUGAACACUUGCUUGAUGUUUUUAUUUGUUUAUUGAACCUUAUGAUGUAUUUGAGGAGUUGUUUGUAUUGUUGCUUUUUAUGACUUAAAAGAUGCUAUGUCUUAAUUGUUGAAUCAUUGUGAAUCUGUUGCAUGUUGAACCUAAGUUUGGGUUAUGCUACGAAUACUAUGUUAUUCAGAAGUUGAGAUAUAUGUUAUGAGUUUGUUCACUCCAAUCCUGAUAGUGUUAUGUAUUAGUUUAAAAAAAAAAGCAUGACAGGUUUAUGUUUAUGUUGAAUGUGUGACAUCCUGAUUCUGUUGAGAAUUUUUAUACUCUGAUUUUUCCGCAUAAAUGCUUGGGGUAGAUUUGGGGUGUUACAUUAGUGGUAUCAGAGCAGGUCGGUCCGUCCGACCAAGUCGUCGAGUCAGUUGAGUUAUGUGAUAGUUGAAUUCUGUCAGUGUUUUAUUCUUUAGUACGCGACACGUGUGAAACACUGUUGGUACUUAUUUGUUUUGUUGCAGGAAGUAGUUUGAGCAAAGUGGGGGAGAAGUUGUGCUUCUCGGUUAUGUUUCGGUUGUAAGUUAUUGGCGCAAUGUAUUGCUUAAGGAGGCAGUGCAUGUAUUGUUGGAGCUUGUUGACAUGGAUUCAUGGUUUUGGUUGUUUAACAAGCUUGGAGCGUCUGUAGAAGGAGAAUGAUCAAUAAUUAUUGACGUUUACUCUUCGAAGGAUGAGGAACAGUGUUGCAGUUGUUGAUAUGCAAGUAUGGUGCAAACUCAUGAUGUUUCGGGAGGUAACAGUUAAGUACCAAGAAUAAAUCCUAGAAGAUGGAAUUUAGAAAUUUGUUGUGUUCAGCAUUGUGGAUGAACUAUGAAGUUGUCAGUGCGAUUAGCCAUGUGAAAGGUACCGGUGUUGGAAAAAUGAUAGAGUGAUGAAGUUGUGGUGGACUUUAUGUGGGACUCGCAUAAGUGAUUGUUGGAUAUCCGAUUUGAAGCGUCGGAAAGAGAACAAGGUGAAUUUUAAUACAAGAAUGGAUGCCGCAACUGUAAGUAGAUUUAUUUGUGACAAGAUGGUGUUGGAAAGUGGUGAAGUUAGCGGUUACACUUGUCCUUGGAAAACGGACUUGUGCGUUAGUAUCACGCAGAAUGUUAGUGUCAGAGAUGACCGAAUUGAAGAAGCAAUUAGAAGGUUUGUUGAGGAGAAAUUUUAAGAUCAAGUGUGUCAUUUGAAGAGUUUGAGAGAUAUCCUAUGGAUUAUCGCAGCAUGACGUUGAUGUUUGUAUUUCGGAUAACGUUGGAGAAUUAUAUCUUGAGUUUCAAGUGUCGGAUUGACGUACCGUUUGAGCCUACAAAGAGGUGAGACUAUAAUCUACCUUAUAGGAGUGUUAUGGAUAUAGUAGAAGUGAAUCCUGUUGAAUAUAAAUGGUUAUUGCCACAAUUGUCCGAAACAAAGUUAAGCCGAGCAUGUUGUUGUGAAGUAGUCUUGUGUAAGCUGUUGACGAAAGAACAACAAUUAAGCGAAAUAUUGUUAUAGGCCUUGUUGUAGGACUAUUGAUAAGUGAUUGGAACUGUGGUAGAAGCUGUCAGAGUUGUUGAAACAUUAUGGAUCGCGAGUAAGAGUUGGAAAUGCGAAGAGAUGAGCAUAAUUUCAAUGAUAAGAAGUGUUGAUGAUGGUGUAGAGAAAUUUUGUUCUAAUGUAUCGUCAGAGGUGUUUUAGUAGGUAGCUGCAAGACGUCGGUGUUAGCAGGUUCGGAUGGUUUUGCGAUUUGUUGAAGUAUGGUACUUUGGUGACGUAAGUUCAAUUUCUAAAGGAACACUAUUAUAGUUGGUAAUGAUGGUUAUACUCCAUUAUGAUUGUCGACUGUCUAUUGACAAAUUGAGGACUUGAUCACCCUUAAUCUCUUGUUGAUAGUAGACGAAAUUGUAUUGAAUGUUAUAGACUUAUCUUACUAUCUUGAUGGUGCAUAAAAGGUGUGAAUUUUGAGGAAAGACUGAAACUUGGUUUAAGCUUGUGAAUCGUAUAAGUUGAUAGAAACCCUAAUAAAGGACGGUGAAUUAAAGUGGAUGAUCAGAGUUGCGCAGCUGAAGCAUGUUGUGCCAGAUGUAUUGUGUUUUCUUGUGAAUAGUGUUGAUUGUAGCAGGAUGUUCUUGUAAGUUGUUGUUGGUUAAUGAUGAGUUAUAAGAUUAUUAGUCGAGUUAUGUUAUUAGGAUGACAUUAUGAUACUUUUGUAGCUGUAACGUUGUUGUUGGUGCUUCGUUAGUAAAUGACACCUGAGUAUGGAAAAUAAGAAUCGUAUAUGUGUAUCAGUGUCGAGUAUGUUGUUGCGAUGAUGAAGCAAUGUUGUAUCGUCAAGUAUGAGCGAGUGAAGAUUGUUGCUACGUCGUAAGAUGUUGUUCCAAGAUAUUGCUGAAAUGAUUGGCAAGUUAGUAACGAUUAUGUUGCAAGGAUAAUUGAGAGGUUGACGUAUGAGUUUUGAAUUCAAGUCGUGUAGAGAUAUGAAUAUAUCGGAAAAAGUAAUAGUUGGAGUGUUGUCAAGUGCAACUUGAGAAUGAGAAAGUUGGAUGAGGACACGAUGUUAGGGAUGGUUGUGUUGGACAAAUUUUCGAGGACGAAAAUAUCCUAAGUGGGGGAGAGUUGUAACGCCCCGAAUUUAAUUAAUUGGUUAAUUAAAUUAUUAAAGUAUUUAAAUAUUGGAUUUAGUCGAAAUUGGAUGGUCGGUAUUAUUUUAAGAGGCGUAUUUUGAUUUAUUAAGUUAAAGUUGGAUUUUAGUCAGAUAAUCGGAAGAAUAAUAUUAAGAAUAAUAUUAUUCAAUUGUUGGAAUUUUUAUCGUCAAAGUCGGAAUUAUUUUAUUAAGUCGGUAUAUUAAAAUAAUCGGAAUUUAUUUUAAUGGAGUUUAAGUGGAAGUAUUACUUUUAUAUUAAGUGUGGAAAUAAUAUUGGGCUUGAAUAAUGGUGUUACUAUAUAUUAAGGGGUAUAAUUUAAUUAGGCCCAUUAGGUGUGGUAACCAAGUGGUGGUGGCACUUUAUCAUUUUAGAAAAAGAAAAAGCAUAGUAAUAGAAAUAGAAAGAGAACCGAGGAAGAGAAAGGAAAAAUAAAGAAGGGAGGCUAGGGUUUGUGAAGAGGAGAAAAGGGGACCCAAAAGUGUUGCUCUAAAGUGCAUUUUUUUCUCAAAAUCUCCAUUGAUUCUCCUUAAAGCUGCAUUCAAUCUAAGGUAAUCCAGAUGAGUAGCUGUUUCCGCUUAUAGUUGAGUUAUGGGUGUCAUUGCUCUGAUACGUAGCACUUGGGGGGGGGGGGGAAAUGAACACUUGCUUGAUGUUUUUAUUUGUUUAUUGAACCUUAUGAUGUAUUUGAGGAGUUGUUUGUAUUGUUGCUUUUUAUGACUUAAAAGAUGCUAUGUCUUAAUUGUUGAAUCAUUGUGAAUCUGUUGCAUGUUGAACCUAAGUUUGGGUUAUGCUACGAAUACUAUGUUAUUCAGAAGUUGAGAUAUAUGUUAUGAGUUUGUUCACUCCAAUCCUGAUAGUGUUAUGUAUUAGUUUUAAAAAGAAGCAUGAGAGGUUUAUGUUUAUGUUGAAUGUGUGACAUCCUGAUUCUGUUGAGAAUUUUUAUACUCUGAUUUUUCCGCAUAAAUGCUUGGGGUAGAUUUGGGGUGUUACAGAAAUCUUUCUCCUACUUUUAACCGUUGAUCUGUUUGGGUGUAUGGAUCAUAGAAAAUAUCAGUCGAUGGUUCGUCAUCCCCAUCAAAAUUCAGGUUCCUCAUGUGCACUGGAGGCAUAUGCACUUGAUCUCGUGGUACAACAACUUCCGGUUCAUCUUCACUUUCCUCGUUUACCAGGUUAUCAACUUCUAUUUCUGGUGCUUCUUCUUCUUCAUCUACAACGUCGACCUCUGCUUGCUCGCCUCCAAGUACAUCAAUCACCUGUGACUCAACCAUCUGUGUGGGUUGAACUUCUGGUAUAGUAACAUACAGUUCUAUGCAUUCGUAACCAGAAUACUCAUGAUUGGCAAACAUAUUCUGCAUGUCUUCAUCGUCUUUGAUCUCAACUUGGAUAAACUUGACCGGGUUGUCCCCACGAAGAAAUCGAUAUUGGUAAAAAAUUUGGGAUACAUCACCCAAUGCAAGCUUCGUCUCUAAUCUCUGUUUGAAGUAAUUGAAAUUUGCUUUUCUGCUUAAACAAAAUCGUUUAACCUCGGUGUUUCUAAACAGAAAACCAACUUCUUCGUUAUCAUAUGUCUCGCCAAAAACAUGAGCGUUGAUAAUGUAUUGUGGAGGGGCCAUUGUUGAGUGGGUAGAGAGUGUUAUUUCAGAUGUGAAAUGAGAUGUGUAAUUAGUUGUGUUUCUUUCCACAUUAGAGGCUUCCUUUAUGUAGACGAUCGUUGAAUGAUGACAAUUAUGAAGACGAAUAAUGUACAAUCACAUGCGUACUGAGCUGUGAACUGGUGAACUGCUGCACUGCUGCACCCCAGACUGCUGCACAGUUGAUUUGAGGUAUGCAUGGAACUGCUGCACAACUGCACAGUCGACUUGACCAGACACAACCACACUGAGCAGUGCCUACUGUACAAUCACAUGCGAAUAAAGUUGACGGAAAAUGAAUGCCUUAGUUGAUUUUAUUUGAGGUGUGCUUGACACUGGUGAACUACAGUUUUGCCGACUUGACCAGACACAACCAUACUGAACAAUGCAUACUGUACAAUCACAUGCGAAUACUCGGUGAAACAGCAACAAGA